rnacentral:rRNA from 1 species
UACGUAGGGGGGCUAGCGUUGUCCGGAAUCAUUGGGCGUAAAGAGCGCGUAGGCGGCUAGAUAAGUCCGGUGUGAAAGUCACAGGCUCAACCUGUGAAUGCCGCUGGAAACUGUCUGGCUAGAGUCCGGAAGGGGCGAGUGGAAUUCCUGGUGUAGCGGUGAAAUGCGCAGAUAUCAGGAGGAACACCAAUGGCGAAGGCAGCUCGCUGGGACGGUACUGACGCUGAGGCGCGAAAGCGUGGGGGAGCAAACAGG